GGUAACUAAAAGUAAAAUUCAAUUAACAUCAAGGAAUUACCUCUAUGGUUCAAGACUUAGAUUUUUUAACAACUCUUCUUCCAAUAAGGUAAUGUUUUUCCUAAUCCCUUGCAUGGGCUUAAUUUAAUUCAUACUCCUAGUGGUUACUUCAAGGUCAAAACUCAUGGGAUGGUGCUCGAAAGCCAUUAGUCCAAGCUACAACCUAUGGUUUUGGGGUGUUGGAGUUGUUUUGGUGUUGAGGGGAAUUGAGGUUGUAUUGGUUGGCACUGUAGUAGGUUUUUAUUUUGUGAAUAAGUAGUAGAAGGCGGUGGGAGUUAGGAUACCCCACCCUCAGUAGAAGGCGGUGGGAGUUAGGAUACCCCACCCUCAGUAGAAGGCGGUGGGAGUUAGGAUACCCCACCCUCAGUAGAAGGCGGUGGGAGUUAGGAUACCCCACCCUCAGAGGGCUCGGUUCACCUAUGCCCUCCGAGUAUUUGAGGGAUUGCCUCUAUAACCUUGAAAUUAAUCUCUUAAGUUAUUAAUCAUAGUUCCUACCCUCAGUAUUCUUGUAGAUUGAUCUUUAGAAGGAUCAUUACUUCGUGGUAGUAAUUGUAAGUCGGAGCAUAAGGUAUGUAAGGCUAAAUCUCAAUCUUAGAGUUCCUAUAUGUUCUCAUCAACAAAACGUUUAUCCUAUCUGAUGUGUCCUUGUUAUUGAAUCGAUGUGAGUUCAUCUAUACGAAAUGCUAGACUAUCUUUACAUAUGUUCUUCAACAGCCCAGAAUCCCUAUGUUUUCCUUACUAUGCUAGACAACAUAUGCUUCUUACGAUGAGUAUACAAUGAUUCUCCAAAGCUUCCUACAUAUGUAGAAUACGGGAUAUGUUCUUUCACUUAGACUUUUAUGAGCCCCCUUAUACGUUUUCAAGAUCACAUAUAUACAUAAAAAGAACUACACAUUUCCAAAAGCUCCUAGACAAGGGAUAUCUAAAUG
rnacentral:lncRNA from 1 species